UAGGAAAGUUGCAGCUUUCUACGCAUUUUUAUUUAGAUUUGUAAGCACAAUUUAAACAACACAUUUUGAAAAGUUAUGCCAGUUGUACGUAUGCUGAAAAUUUCAUCGAAAUCGGUCGAUGCAGAAACGAGUAACAGGCGUCGAAAGAUGAACAAGAAUAUGGAUUUAUUUGUUACAGGCUGAAAAUCGUAGGAAACAGCAAUUUUCAUCGUUUUUAUCCGUCUGUAGUUCAUAGCAACGUUGACCGGUUUCGAUAAAAUCGUCAGUACAUAUAUAACUAACAUAGAUCUACAAAGCGUACUUAUCUCAGUUUUUAAACCUUCGUUACAGUCUCAGAUAAGAAACUUGUAAGAAGUGACUUUUACUAUUUUUCCCGCGAUUCUGACCUCCUGCAAUUUUUUCAAAAAAUUGUUUUCGCGUCAUCUCGUUUAUUGCGAGAUUCUUCCUAACUCGUCAAAAAAGUUGUAUGGCCUAACCUUAAAAAAUUAUUCGUUUCUAAGGAGUGUGCCAACACUUUCGUUCGUGAUCGCAUCAUAUUUGCGGUGAACAUCUUGUAACGUUUUGUUCAGCGACUCGCGAAAGUAUUCAAACGCUUAUUUAUAAGAAAAUUUUUAUAACUAUAUCGUUACAGUUGCGAACGUACUGCACGAAACUCUUCGAAACGUAUCGUUAACAGGUGGCGACUACUACGACUAUAAUAAUAAAAUUUUUAAACAAUCUAAAAGUAUAAUCGGUUCUUGAAGCGUGCAGAUCUCGAACAUUUUGUUGAUAAAGAAAUGGUGAAAUAUUCCGAUAAAUAAAGCGAUACUAACAGGAGUUGGUAGUAAGGUAGGUAUAUUAUACUAAAUGCAAAAAGUUACAAUAUAUUUGAUGUUUGUUUUUUUUUUUCAUUUUCCUUUAACAUUAUUUCUUUGCUUUUGUCGUAGUAACGUUGACCAUGGUUGUACACACAAACUGGCCUGAUAGACCGAAAUAAAAAUGUAUACUACAAAAAUUCACAACUUAUUCGCCAUCCUCUAAUUAUUGUAUUGUUAUAAUUAUUUGUGUUUCUUCAUAUUCCUUUCUUCGUUCAUUAUAUUUAUCUUUUUUAUUAAUUAUUAUUAUUAUUAUUAUUAAUUAUUAUUAUUAUUAUUAAUAAUCACUUAAAAACGAAAACAUUCACACUAAAAAUUUGCAGAGCUUUCGUUCAGGUAUAAAGAGGUGAUCUCGCGUGCACGUGGCCUCUGAACACUUUGUUUUCAAUGCGUUUAUACGUGAGAUGCACACUGAUGUAUAUAUAUAUAUAUAUAUAUACUGAACGGUACAAAUGAACUUACCUAAAGACUGUAUAUACAUAUUGAAAAUUGAAAUAAGAGCAAAGAUCAGAGUGCUACGUUCUACUCGUCGAGGCUGGAGAAGAAGCUCGUUAAAAUACCUAGCCAUAAAAAUUCGUUAUUGUAUUUUAAUCCUAUGAUUUAAGAAGGAAUAAAUUAAUCAACUUAUUCGAUGCGUAGAGUUAGUAGCGUGAUUGUUUGGACAUAUAAAAUUUUAUAUAUUAUUAUUUGUACAAUUGAAAAUAUCAUCAUACGCAGAUAUAAAAGGCAUAUCGUUACUUUAAAUGAAACAAGCAAUUCGCUAUUUUACAAUGAUCCUUUUUAAUGGUAAAAUUCUUUUACGGAUGACUGGACAAUUACGAGCAUGCUUCGCAAAUAUUCUAAUUUGUCGACGUAACGAACAAUGCAGCCAACUGAUUACGCGAAAUUACCUCUUUAUCCAUGACCGAGACAAAGCAGCAUCAUCGUGAUAUAGUACAAAAGCAACGUUUUACAAACAUCGAAUUUUGUUACAAAAAAAUCAUUCCACCAUGUGAAGAUUAAAUAAGAUUACAAUACAUUAUAAGAAAAUUUGUAGAAAUAGUAGAAUGAACUUUAAUCGCCGAUGAUUCUGCUAUAUCCCGGACAUAGCAAUUGUAACGCAUUCGAUUACAAACUAUUGCGGAUGUUUAAUGUAGACUACGUAACAAUUUAAUGGAUCAAUAAGAAAGUAAAUAAUUACUUCUCACAUGUUUUCAGCCUUAAUAUUGUAGCAUUUUGUGGUUUAGUCGCCGUGCACUUUGUAAUUUCUGACAAAUUUCAACAUUCAGUUAAUUUAUCACCAUCAACAUAUUGUUACCACCUCUGUAUUUCUUAGCACUAUUAAAAAACAGUUUAAUCUCUGUUCAUCUGCUGUAUUUUCAUCUGUGCACUCGGGUUAGGGCGAGGUGUAUACGUACGAGAUGGCACAUAAAUAACUAUAUGCGCUACCACUGUUUCACGACGAUGGUAGUAUUGUAUUACUUUUUACUUUGCACUUACGAUUCUUCUAUAUUGUUUCAAUGUUGGCUUGAUAAUUUUCUUCUGAUUAUCCGAUGAUUUUUAACACGAUCACAAUUUACAGAAACAAAAGAACAAUAUCUCCUGGUUUGAAAAAAGGAAAAAAAAAGACACACGUGACGAAUAGGCCAGAAAAAAUAUAUUGCCCUGUCUCUAAUAAUCGCAGGACUCAUCUUGCAAACUGUUUCUAGAAAUUCGAAAAUAUUUCUGAUGCUUUUUUUUUUCUAAUAAACACAA